rnacentral:lncRNA from 1 species
CAACAUCUGCAGCAUCUGGAGCUCUCGAGCGUGCUCAGCUUCACGACGUUUGUCCUCGAUUUUGAGCCUCUGCUCUUCGUAUCUAUAAAAUUUUUCUUCCGUAUCCACGCUCUGCUGCAGGAAUUUCUCCAUCAUUUUAUCCAGCGUUAAAUUCGCAUGGCGCUUUUUUGAUCUUUUGGGCUGAGUGAGAGGCGGGGUAACUGUCGGAGCGCUCAUUUCUUUAAAGCCGUCUCCGGGCGGCACCGGGAUGGCGAAGGGGGGGCACUCCACCUUGAUGGGGCGCUCGGCGUACGAGGAGCACUCCCCGGAGUCCUCGGCGAAGUUGUCGCGGGGGGAUUCGAGCCCGGCGUCCUCGUCCGCCUCGGGGUCGUUCUCGCGGCCGUUGUGCAGCGCGCCCGGGCUGGGCGGCCCUCCGAGGGGCUGCGGACCGUCGGGCAGCGGGGGCGGCGGCUCGGGGGCUCCGUCGGGCCCCCCCCGGCAGCUGAGGAUUCGGUCCAUCUCGUCGUAGUACUUGCAGAUCUUGCGGGCGUGCCCGUUCUUCUUCAGCCCGUCCCGGGCCUGGUAGUACUGCCGCUUGAGGCCCUUGAUGCGGAUGCGGCAUUGCUCCGGGGUGCGCUCGAAGCCCAGCUCGGCCAGGCGGCACGCCACGUCCCGGUACACAUGGCUGUUCCGAAAGUUGCCGUCCAGCGCCGACUGCACGUCCGCCUCGCCCCAGAUCUCCAGCAGCGCCCGCGUCUCCAGGUCCGACCACAAGAAGCCCCUCGUGUUCGUGAUCAUCCUCGGCCGGCCGGGGUCACUGCAAUGGCCGCGCACCGGGAGAGGAGGAGGAGGAGGGAGGGACGGAGAGAGGAGGUGCCGGGGGGGCGGCGGGAGGGAGCGGGGGGGGGGGGGGGGAGGUUAAUACCCGCGCUCCGCGCUCCCAGGGGGCGCCUACGGCAGCCCCGGCCGCGGUGCGGCGGGAGGCGGCGGGGAGCCGGGCCCCGGGCCCGCAUCCCAGCGCGGGCCGCCCGCCCGCCAAACUUUCCAGCGGGCACCUGCAGAAAGGGGGCGGAAAAAAAGCAACCGAAAACCACCACCAACCGAGCCCGUCACGCACAAAGCCUCCCCCGCGGCUCGCCCUGCCCCGGCGAGAACACGGAGAUGCGGGCACGACCCGCCGCCCCCGGGCAGGACGCGCCGCCCCGCUCGGCGCUCAGCUCCGCGCGGCCGCUCCCCCGCCGCGGGCAGCUCCGGGGGCGGCAGGACGGCGGCGCGGGCGGCACGCGGAGGCCCGGCUCAUGGCAGCGCCCUCCUCCUUCCCUCCUUCCUCCCCCUCCUCCUCCCCUCCCUCCCGCCGCAGUAGAGCGCGAUCCCUACACACACACACACACACACACACAGAGAGACAGACACACGCACGGCGCUGCAGCUCGGCGCACGGCGGCCGGAGGGGCCCCGCGGAACGAGACAGCCCUUCGCUGGGGCUCGGCGCCCCUCGGGGCAGGUGCGAGCCCGAGGACAGGCGGGGCUGCGCCGCGUGAGGCGGCUGCGCCCUUUCCGCCCGCUUCCCAGACACGCACCGGCGGAAGGCUCCGCUCCCCCCCGGGCUCUCCCAGGCCCCGGCCCCCGCCUCACGGGCAGGUCCCACCCCCUCCUCGCCAGAGCUCCGCUGCGGAGAUGUCUGUACCUUCGUCACACCGCAGCCAGAGGGCCGCAGCUGCGGCCAAGGCCAGCGCGGCCGCCGCG